rnacentral:rRNA from 1 species
UACGGGGGGGGCAAGCGUUGUUCGGAAUUACCGGGCGUAAAGGGCUCGUAGGCGGCCAACUAAGUCGGACGUGAAAUCCCUCGGCUCAACCGAGGAACUGCGUCUGAUACUGGAUGGCUUGAAUUCGGGAGAGGGAUGCAGAAUUCCAGGUGUAGCGGUGAAAUGCGUAGAUAUCUGGAGGAAUACCGGUGGCGAAGGCGGCAUCCUGGACCGACAUUGACGCUGAUGAGCGAAAGCCAGGGGAGCAAACGGG